GAUGAAGAACGUAGCGAAAUGCGGUAAGUAAUGUGAAUUGCAGAAUUCAGUGAAUCAUCGAAUCUUUGAACGCACAUUGCGCCCGCCAGUAUUCUGGCGGGCAUGCCUGUUCGAGCGUCAUUUCAACCCUCAAGCCCCAGCGGCCUGGUGUUGGGGACCGGCGACCUCGCCCGAGCCCGCCCUCCGGGGCGCGUGCCCGGUGCGUCCGCCGCCCCCGAAAUGAAUUGGCGGCCUCGUCGCGGCCUCCUCUGCGUAGUAGCACAACCUCGCAAGCGGGAGCGCGACGCGGCCACUGCCGUAAAACGCCCAACUUUUUUAGAGUUGACCUCGGAUCAGGUAGGAAUACCCGCUGAACUUAAGCAUAUCAAUAAGCGGAGGA
rnacentral:misc_RNA from 1 species